rnacentral:rRNA from 1 species
UUUCCGGUUGAUCCUGCCAGACCUGACUGCUAUCGGAUUGGUACUAAGCCAUGUGAGUCGUUGUAGCAAUACAAGGCAUACGGCUCAGUAACACGUAGUCAAUCUAACCUAUGGACGGGGAUAACCUCGGGAAACUGAGGAUAAUACCCGAUAGAUCAUUAUACCUGGAACGGUUUAUGGUCCAAACGAUUCGUCGCCGUAGGGUGGGACUGCGGCCUAUCAGCUUGUUGGUGAGGUAAUGGCCCACCAAGGCUAUUACAGGUACGGGCUCUGAGAGGAGAAGCCCGGAGAUGGGUACUGAGACACGGACCCAGGCCCUAUGGGGCGCAGCAGGCGAGAAAACUUUGCAAUGUGCGAAAGCACGACAAGGUUAAUCCGAGUGGUUUCUGCUAAAGGAACCUUUUGUCGGUCCUAGAAACACCGAUGAAUAAGGGGUGGGCAAGUUCUGGUGUCAGCCGCCGCGGUAAAACCAGCACCUCAAGUGGUCAGGAUGAUUAUUGGGCCUAAAGCAUCCGUAGCCGGCUCUGUAAGUUUUCGGUUAAAUCUGUACGCUUAACGUACAGGCUGCCGGGAAUACUGCAGAGCUAGGGAGUGGGAGAGGUAGACGGUACUCGGUAGGAAGGGGUAAAAUCCUUUGAUCUAUUGAUGACCACCUGUGGCGAAGGCGGUCUACCAGAACACGUCCGACGGUGAGGGAUGAAAGCUGGGGGAGCAAACCGGAUUAGAUACCCGGGUAGUCCCAGCCGUAAACUAUGCAAACUCAGUGAUGCAUUGGCUUGUGGCCAGUGCAGUGCUGCAGGGAAGCCGUUAAGUUUGCCGCCUGGGAAGUACGUACGCAAGUAUGAAACUUAAAGGAAUUGGCGGGGGAGCACUACAAGGGGUGAAGCCUGCGGUUCAAUUGGAUUCAACGCCGGAAAUCA